UACAGAGGAGAUGGAGAGAUUCAGGGAGGAGCUGAGCUGUUACUGAACUAUAGAAGAGAGAGGAACUUCCAUAUUCAGCAGAGUUCAAUACACAAACCACAAACAUUACCUUCAUUCAACAUGCUGUCAUUAGACUAUUAUGGACUGUCUCUGCUGAUUCUCACUACUCUGACAGGCAUCAACUGUGAAGAUCUGACUCCAGUCAACAAUGAAGAGUUCAGCUCAGAAGGCAGCUCUGUUACUCUGUCCUACACAUACCCCACACUGACAACUGGUGAUUAUUUCUUCUGGUAUAGACAAUAUCCAGGAAAAAAACCAGAGUUCCUCAUCUCUCACUCUGCUUCAGGACAAAUACUGAACAGUCCAUUCCCUGGACUGAAGAUUAAAGUGGAGGAAAAGCAAAUCAACAUGACCAUCUCCUCUGCUGCAGUGACAGACUCUGCUGUGUACUACUGUGCUGUGAGGCCCACAGUGACAGGAAACACCAUCACUCUGUACAAAAACACAAGCUGACACACUGACAAGCUGCUGGAAGCCUUUUUUCCACACUCUUCAACACAGCUUUUUACCUCCACUAGAGGGCCACAUUAUCAAGUAGG